UUCCAAUCAUUAUUACAAUAAUAAAUAUUAAAACAAUUGUAAUGCAAGCAAACAUGCGUCUAACCUAAUGACUAGUAGUGUGUACUAACAUAUCUAUGUAGGUGUGUAUGUAUAGGCAGUGAUUGUUGUGGUUAAAAGGCGACAGAUUAACGGUUGUUAAAAAAUAGGUUAACAAAAUAUUACUAAAAAAAUAUAUAUUGUAGUUUAAUUAUGCACUAGUUGUUAUUCAAAUUUAACAAGUAAUAAUUAUGAUGAUAAGCAUGAUUUUUUAUAAGAAUUAAGAGAUAUUAAUUGACUUGCAAUAACAAAAAAAAAGUUUUUUUAUGUAAUUAAUUUUGGGUAAAAAAUUUAGACUUUUUUAACUAUAAGGCAUAGAUGUUGCAUUUACAUAUUCUAGUGUAUAAAACAACCAUAUUUUUCAUUGGAAAGUACAAUUGCAUUGCAUUUUCUUAUUUUCUUCAACAACCUAAUGUUUUUAUUUAAUUUUUUCAUUUUAAUACUAAUUUUAAAGUUUUUCUAAAAUUGUUUAUAAUAUAUUUUGCUUUUGAUUUUCUCUUUAGAGCUUAUUUUUUGAUCAACAGUAGCAGACCUCGUACAUAGAUCCUAUACACUUGAUUUAGGUUAGGUUAGCUUAGAUGGCUUAUCGUGAGACAGGAGUUGUUCGAACAUAUAAAUUAGCAAAACGCUUAGUGGUCAAUACAAAAUUGCACAGGCGUUUAUAUUCCAUUUCCGCCAGUUUAGUGGGAUGUCUGAAGGUAUACGUUCGCAAGUGCUUAAGCUUUGAUCUCCCAAACGCGGGGCAAACAAGAAAGAAGUGCCGAGAUGUUUCUACCUCGUCUUCUUCCAUACAGCUUCUGUAGAUGGCGUCUGGUAAGAUUCCCAACCUUACACCAUGGACGCCAAUAGGACAAUGGCCUGUUAAAACCCCCACAACUAGGGAGAGGCUAGCCUUACCACUAGAUCCCUUGUGAUCGAUCUAGGGCCAAAAGAAUUUUGCGACAGCACAUGUACGGACCUUGUACAUCGGUGGCAAAGCUUUCGUAAAGCCCAGCUAUCUCGUAUAGAGCAAAGGAGAAUACGGAAGCAAGGACUCGCUCCCGUUCUAUUCAUAGCGGACCUUGGGUGCCUUUCCUUGCUAGCUCAUCAGCUUAAAAUUUCCUGCGAUUCCUCUGUGUCCACGCAUCCAUACUAGAUCACAAAGAGACUCGAUGCUAUUGAUAAUGAGGUUAAGCACUCUUUGGCCAACCUUGAACGCCCAGUAGUAUCGCCUGGUUAGUAUUGCCGCACUGCUAUCGGAGAGGAUGGUCACUUCUCUGAAGAAGGUAAAUCCGCUGCUACCAUAAUGGUUGCAACCUCGGCAUGGAAAACAAUGCAAUAGUCAGGAAGUUUGAAACUGGAGUGGAUGGAGAGCUGCUGACCCAAAACUCCUCCCCUACCUUCCCCUCAAGCUGGACUCAUCCGUAAAGAAGCUCACUGCCCCUCUUCUCCAACGACUUCUUCCCAGCCGCAACUCCCUUGCCAAUAUACUUUAGUAGAAGGCGACACCAAUCUCACUUUUUCAAAAUUGUUCACCCACAGAUGCUCCUUUCUACUGCGAUUACCUGUGCCAAAUUGGAAUUUUUUUAUCUUACUUUAGUUCUUGGUUACGGCAUUUUACAUGUUUCCGAUUAAUAGAGUUUUGUGGGUGUGGCAGUCGUCGGAUUACGCCCAUCUGCGAACUCUUAAUUUUCUUUGUACUAAAAAACCCACACACCAAGUUUUAUUAUCUCAAUUUUUACUCAAGUUACAGUUUACACUAAAAGACGGACGGACAGACAGACAGUCACCCGGAUAUAAACUUUUUUCGUCAUCCUUAUAAUUUUUAUUUACUAUAUAUAACCCUAUAUCUAUUUUGCUUAGUUUAAGGUGAUACAUACAACUGUUAGGUGAACAAAACUACAUAUAUUACGCUGUAGCAAAAGCUUGCAAGAGUAUAAAAAUUCUAUUACAUUCAUAAAUAUUUAAAAUUUUUUUCGAAAAUCGUGAAAUAUAUGGGCGUGCAUUAGUGUGAAGUCCACUUGAGUCAUUGAUAAACUUAAGCUAAAAUCUUGGUUCAGGCAGCGCUGUAUAUUAUUGACGUUUCCUUCAAACUUCCAAUUUCACAACGAAGGCUUUCUCGCAAGUAUUAUACAUAUAAAACUUCGCACCAGAAAAGUUCUUAAAUGUAAUGAAAAUAUAUGUAACACGAACCCGUAUAAGCCUGAGAGAACUUAUAAAAGUUGUAUUAUAGACAUUGGUAAUAUUAGUUUUGUUUCUGCUUUUCUACGGUGCCAAUUUAUACUUACUCAGUCUUAAGACCAAAAUCAAUCCUCGCUAGCUAACUUAAAAGUGGUCUUCCUGAGCAAAAUAUAAUAUAUAUGAGUAAUAUUUCUUCCGCUGUUUGCGUGUUUAUUAUUGUUGACAUUUUUUAAAGCAUAUUUAGUAUCUAAAUGAACUUAACACAUAUGUAUAUGUGUUCUUCCACAAACCAGAACUGCAACGCCAAUUAUAAAAGUCCAGCUUGGGCGAAGCUGUUGAUCCAGCCACCAGUAGCGGCGAUGCCAAAUCAAAGCCAAGUUUUAGAUUCAUACACAUAUUCCUCUUACUUCGGUUGGAUGCUCAUCAAAUGAAUGAGUUAGAUAUAAGAAAUGUACUGCUAAUUGCAUGUCACUCAUACGCCAUGUCUCAUGAAAAAUCAAACAGCAAAUCAACAACACGCUUUAUAAUUGUAAUUUGCGAAGCAGCGGAGGAAGUAGGCAUGAUUAGUUGAAAGUUGUUGGAGCGGCGCAAGCAAAUAAAUAUAAUAAAUCAGAAAAACUCAAGGACAACAAGGAAAAAUAAGCAGCCAAAUUAAAGAAAAGCGGAAGCAUGCUGCUAGUGAGCAACUUUCUUAGCCAGUGAAGGCGGAACACCAUAACAGUUUUGCAGCUGUCUAACUUUGCCAGCCGCAAGAGAUAAGCCAGCAUUUCUGCAGAAAAAGUUUUGUCUAAUGCAAUGUUUCUUAAAUUCAAGUGAUUGAAUCCCAUCAAUGACUGCUAAACUUCGAACCAUUAGUUCCGGAUGAGCGACGGUCAAACGUUAACGAUAUCAAUGUUGCGUGGUGUUGAGUGAGUGAAAUAUGGAUAAUCUGCCGAUUUGAGCGCGCGUGCAACCGCUGCAGAAGGUUAGUUGUAAGCACUUGACAUUAAACGUACAUAUUUGAGUAACACCCUGUAUUUAAAUUUGAAGUUGGGUAUGGAUUCAGUGAGUUUGCUGAUUUUAGCAGCAUAUUUGCAGAAAGCUCUACCGGAAGGUCAUUGAUGUCAACCAUAAGUCUUCCAAGAUGGAAAUCGUACCCACUUGGAUCUGAAAGUAUUCAAAGCGGAACAUUGAUUUGUAUUUGUGAUAAAAAAUAGACCUUUCUACUUUAUUGAUUAGUUAAUUGCCUCGAAGAGGUUUCAUAAGUUCUAGUUGGCUAGAAACAUAUCUUUAAAAUAAGCAGAUUUAGAAUAUAAUUUUUCUAUUUAAUAAAGUGUAAACUAGAAAUAAAUCGUUUAAUUUUAAUGGAAUAAAAUCAUUUAUAUCUGAUUUCCGA